AGAGUUUGAUCAUGGCUCAGGAUGAACGCUAGCGGCAGGCUUAAUACAUGCAAGUCGAGGGGCAGCACAGGUAGCAAUACUGGGUGGCGACCGGCAAACGGGUGCGGAACACGUACGCAACCUUCCUUCAAAUGGGGGAUAGCCCACCGAAAGGUGGAUUAAUACCCCGUAAUAUAAUGAGGUGGCAUCAUCUUAUUAUUAUAGCUCCGGCGUUUGAAGAUGGGCGUGCGCCUGAUUAGGUAGUUGGCGGGGUAACGGCCCACCAAGCCUUCGAUCAGUAACUGGUGUGAGAGCACGACCAGUCACACGGGCACUGAGACACGGGCCCGACUCCUACGGGAGGCAGCAGUAAGGAAUAUUGGGCAAUGGACGCAAGUCUGACCCAGCCAUGCCGCGUGGAGGAUGAAGGCCCUCUGGGUUGUAAACUUCUUUUAUUUGGGAAGAAACCACCUUUUUCUAAGGGUGUUGACGGUACCAGAUGAAUAAGCACCGGCUAACUCCGUGCCAGCAGCCGCGGUAAUACGGAGGGUGCAAGCGUUAUCCGGAUUCACUGGGUUUAAAGGGUGCGUAGGCGGGCAGUUAAGUCAGUGGUGAAAUCUUCGAGCUUAACUCGGAAACUGCCGUUGAUACUAUCUGUCUUGAAUAACGUUGAGGUGAGCGGAAUAUGUCAUGUAGCGGUGAAAUGCUUAGAUAUGACAUAGAACACCGAUUGCGAAGGCAGCUCACUAAACGCUCAUCGACGCUGAGGCACGAAAGCGUGGGGAUCAAACAGGAUUAGAUACCCUAGUAGUCC
rnacentral:rRNA from 1 species